rnacentral:lncRNA from 1 species
AUUUGGUGGAGAUAUGGAGGAGAUUGGCAGCAGAGGUUGUGUUUGCAGAGGCUAUAUGAGAUGGAGUAUAGCUUGAAGAGGUGAAUCACAACUCGAUAUGGGAUCCUUAUUCCUUAUAUAGAAUUAAUAAGAAUCUUAUAUGUUUAACCAGUGGAUAGGCAACUACACUCCCUUUUGUAUGCAUGCUGGUAAGACUGAUAGACUGUAAUUCUAUCCCUUUUCUUUUCUUGAAAGAGCAUAUAAUAUAUGAUGGUUAUGAAUGGAUAAAUGCAAUGAUUGAUCCCACAGCGCUUUAUUUAGCAAGCCAUACAGUAGGUAGAUUCUAUUAAAAC